UACGUAGGGUGCGAGCGUUGUCCGGAAUUAUUGGGCGUAAAGAGCUCGUAGGCGGUCUGUCGCGUCUGCUGUGAAAACCCGAGGCUCAACCUCGGGCCUGCAGUGGGUACGGGCGGACUAGAGUGCGGUAGGGGAGAAUGGAACUCCUGGUGUAGCGGUGGAAUGCGCAGAUAUCAGGAAGAACACCGAUGGCGAAGGCAGUUCUCUGGGCCGUAACUGACGCUGAGGAGCGAAAGCGUGGGGAGCGAACAGG
rnacentral:rRNA from 1 species